rnacentral:lncRNA from 1 species
GAGAUUUUUUGUCCCUCUAAAUCAGUCAGCAGUCACUCUCACAAAUCCUAAGACCUUCGCUCAGUCAGAGCAGAUCAAAAGAUAACUCACAUUUCAAAAUACGGAAAGGAAAAAAAAAGACAGAGAAGAAAGGAUAAGUGAGAAAAGAAGAGAGCCAGAAGGGGGCAUACUGCUCUCUCUUUACACUGGCGAAUAAGGUGUUUUAAGCAUACCAUGCGUCUCCUUCCUUCUAUCGUCUUGCACACAAUUUUUUACUAAAAAAAAAACCCAGCAACUGUUAUUUUUAGUUUUAUUCUCAGGGAGAUUUUAAUUUUCAACUGCACAUCAUAAAAUAACCAUUGAAAAAUAACAGUACUUAAAAACUGUUAUUUUAGUUUUAUUUCUCAGGGAGAUUUAAUUUCAACUGCACAUCAUAAAAUAACCAUUGAAAAUAACAGUACUUAAAGGUCCAUUCAUUAAUGGGGCAAAAUGAAAGGUCUGGAAUCUGGCUCCUAGGAUGUAUCGAGACCCCCUUGAAGUUGGAAUGAAAAGUGUAAGUUUAGCCUCUCAGCUGUGUCUCAAUCCAUAAUCCUGCCCCAAAAACCCCAGCGGAGACCAGCCUGACACUCCCAUGACGUUCCUGACCAGUGAAGGCCUGGCCUGUGCAGAUUUAUGGAGUGCCUUACUCUCCUAUUCGGGCAGAGACUUUGAGUCAGACUGCUAGAAGUUGCACAAGAUUAAGAAGAAAAUUAGAUCUGGUCUUUUCUGGUCCAGAAAGCUCCAAGCUACUCAUCAUAAACCAUCAAUUAUGCUGGAGAUGUAUAAAGAAAAUUGAUAAGGUCGGAGUUGCUACGCAAACACAGAUGAAGCGCAUCACCUUUCGCCAGCACGGCACAGGUAAGCCAGGCCCCGACCGAGCUGCUGGACCAGGGGUCAGGCUUGUGGCCCAGCAUGCAACUGGUUUCAGUCACAUCAGGUUCUUACACCCCAGAGAUGAGCUUGCAGACGUACGUCGUCUGAGACCUUUGAUGUGUGACUGCAAGAGUUUUUGUUACUGUGCUUUUAAUUAGGUCCAGCAGCUGCCCAUUCCUGGUCCGAAACUCCACUAUCUGCCUAAUCUCUUGCAGGUGGCUAUCACAAAUACACCAAAAUCAGCCACCACUCUCAGGUGCGCAACGUCGAGGGCGGAGCCAACGCCAUGUCAUGCUUCCCUCUGUUUGGCACAAACAAGUCUGAAGCACAAAGGCUGAGCUAACACAGCCCAGUUGCAGUGAGACAUGGUUAAGAUUCACAGUUCCAUCACUACGACCAGCAUGUUCCCAGCUUACCGUCAAGCGGGUGAGAAUUUAUGCAAAUAUAUGCUUCCCGUCUAUCAUCUUUUGGCAAAUUUAAUGGCCCAAUUUCUUAAACAUUAUCCUUUAAAGAUAUAUUAGCAGGUUUGAGUGUGGUAUAAUGUUGGAAAAAACUUUCACAAUGCCACGAGACGUGCUUCUCUGGUUUUCUUAAAGGAAUGUUUCGGGUCCACUAUAAGUUAGGCUCAGUCGAGCACUUUUUUGGUAGGAUUAGUGCAAAAAUUAGUAUGCAAUUAUUCCUCAUUUUCUGUACAGAGAAAAUUUCAAAUUGUGUUACAAGUGAAACAUUUACAGUACAACUGAAGUGAAUGGGGCCAAUAUGUAAACAUGAAAAAAUAUCCACUGCUUUAACAGUAUAGACAGAAGACGUGCACAAUACACAUGCAUAUGCAUGAUUUCAGUGUAAAAAAAAAUUUGUAACAUUUUCUUGUCUUAAAUUAUAUCCAAUUUUAUCUUUGCCACAACAACAUAAAACCCUAAAACUGUAAAAAUUAUUUAAAUGCUUUUGCAGCUCAAAUAAUAAACAAGUUUUAACGAAAAAUAAUUGUGCUUUCAUAGAACCAUUUGUGCUUUUAAAUGCUUCAAAAAUUGACCCAUUCGCUUCCAUUGUAAGUGCUUCUCUAUAAACUCCAUUUUUGCUUUAUUUUUAAAGUACAAAUUAUUUUUCGUUGUAAUCAGCAUUAUCCAAUAUGCUGUCAGUUGAGAUUCUCAUGUAGAAAGUUGUGCAAGUAGCUCAAAAUUCAUCUAACAUCCACCUGCCUUUGUCACUUCCAAGUUAGUAGAUUGCUAAACUGAACUUGACUAAAGAUGAAAUAUGGGAGGCUGGUUAGGCAUACUAAUACCCUGGAUUCAUUAAAUUAAUAGGGGUCUUAUUCCCCUUACCAUGGGUUCACAGAUGCCCUUUGAGUUUGCCGGAGCUAGAGGGUGUGCAGCACUUUGAAAGCCCUUACCGGCAUAUCGAGCGCAUUUUAAUACAGUCCUUUUGAGGCUCCCCGCACCUCUCCAUGCGAUCUCGUCAGAUAGCCACGGCUGUGUCAGAUCAGGCCCAGGCCGCACAUACACUAGGGGGAUGGGGAGGGCCAUGCAAGGCAAAUUAGACCAGAGGUGUUCAUUUCUAAGUAGAGGCCAUUCUUUCCCGAAGAUGUGAGUCCUUAAGAAGCAAGCACUCAGGAGUGCUUUGAUGUGGAAAGGUGCCCAGUUUAAGGCUCUGAAACAGGAGGCUUUCGGAGAGAUUCCGUAGGAUUCCCUUCGGUGAUCAGCAGGGGAAGCUGCCCUCUAGUUGGUCAACUGCUUAUACUAUACAGAUUUAACUAUGCAGAGAAUGAAGUGCGUGGUCCAAAGAAAUCCUUGAUGGUGUCCGUUAUGACUGUCAUAACAUAUUCAAAACCAUCAAUCCACAAUAAGAUCCAAACAUCGUGAUCACAGCCUGAAAAAUCAAAGAGGCUUCAGAAAACAACAACAAAAGGAAAUGCUCUGAAUGCUCUGGGAAAACAAUAUUGUUUUCCACUGCAGUUGCACAUUUGCUAAUCUUUCAAACUUUUGAAUGCAUAAAAUCGGAAAAAGGGCAAAUAACAAAGGAUUCCAAUGACAACAACACAUAUUCUACAGCUUGUUUCAGUCUAUAAGCUUCAAAAAUAUGUUUAAUUAACAGACACAAAAUAUAGGAAUGCCUCAUUUCAAUGACAAUAUCUCUUUGCAACAUCCAAUAACAAGACAACAGAAAGACACUGCAGUGUGACUGAUUCAAUAGAAGGCUUUUACAGCAGUUGGACCUGUGUUACUGUAUGCAAUGGCUGAAUUAUCCAACAUAACUCAGUUAAGGCAAAUUAAAUAAAACAAAAAGUAGUUGUAAACAAGGUUCUUGCGGUCACUGAAAAUGGCAUCUUGUAUUUAUUUACAGGCCAGCUAGUGAUUUUGAAACUUAAGUGUUCUCUUUUGAAGCAAUGCUGUUUGCAGCUGCAGAGAUUGUGGCUUGGUUAGAAACCAGGCACACACCCGACCCCUGCGUUUUAAAAAGAGCUUUUUCCCUUUGGUCUUUGUACAGUGGUGUGGCAACUAUGGAUCACAGGUGGGAGCCUGCCUCUAACAAAUAAGCUUCCUCACUAAGGACGGGAUUUGGCGCUGUUAUUUUUCUAUUAGGGCGGAAUAAUUUUAAGCCUUUUUAGAGGCCAUCUUUCUGUUGCUAUGGUAGCCCAUAUAUCCUGCAGGGUUGUGACCCUUAGUGACUAGUGUGCAAAGCCAAAUACCACAAAACCUGUGAGGAUCAGAAAUGUGGACUUACAGUUAUGGAAAACAGCUCAAAUAUGACCGAACCUUUCUAAGACUGAGUGACAAGUUUACUGAGAUCUCUUUUUUUCAACUCAUUAUGUCAAUCGCGAUUUCAAAUAUCACUUGUCACAUCUCCAAGUCCACGUCUCCACGCCCAUCUGUUGAUUUAUACACCAGUUGGAUUUGAAAUUUCUCUCCCUUUAGCCAAAAUGUUAACAGUCUUUUUGAGAAAAACACGCCGGCUAAUUUACAGAUAUUUACAGAUGAGGCGUGUACUGACCGAAUAAGACCAAAAGCUACAUUAUAACUAAGUAAAUCUUCUAAUAACAAACACAAAAGCAAAUUAAAUACAUUGCAGGACAUUUCAAGUUACUUACCUUGACUGAGGAAGAUAGGACAGGAGACUUGAGCAACCAAUCCUGCAUUACCUCACAACAACAGGAAAUGAAUUAAAAAUGAAUUAAAAGAAGCCGAUUUCAGCAUCAGCAGAGUAAUCAAUUUUCAUCUUAUUUUUAUUUUAUUAGAAGAUUAAAAGAAUAGCCUAAAUAAAAAUAAAAGUAGAUGACUGCAUGUGUAACGAAAAUACGUAAAUCAGU